GGGGCCGUAGCUCAGUUGGGAGAGCGCUUGACUGGCAGUCAAGAGGUCAGGGGUUCGAUCCCCCUCGGCUCCACCA
rnacentral:tRNA from 2 species